rnacentral:rRNA from 1 species
UACAGAGGUCUCAAGCGUUGUUCGGAUUCAUUGGGCGUAAAGGGUGCGUAGGCGGCGCGGUAAGUCGGGUGUGAAAUCUUGGAGCUUAACUCCGAAACUGCAUUCGAUACUGCCGUGCUUGAGGACUGGAGAGGAGACUGGAAUUUACGGUGUAGCGGUGAAAUGCGUAGAUAUCGUAAGGAAGACCAGUGGCGAAGGCGGGUCUCUGGACAGUUCCUGACGCUGAGGCACGAAGGCCAGGGGAGCAGACGGG